AGACGCUUCGGUUUACUGCAUUAUAUUGUAAUGUGUGUUGUUGUUUUCGUGGUUUAACGUUAAACGUUAACAAUUGCAAUUCUAUAAAAUAAUUAGUUGAUAUUAAUAUAUGAUAAAGUUGUCGGAAUUUUGUGGCGGGUCGGGGGGUGGGGGGUCUUGCUUUUGAUACUUCCGGAAUCCAUGAGCACGUGAUGUGGUUGCUAAGCAACGUCUGUUGUUGGCGUUGCUAAUCACGCAAGAAGUACUGUAGACAAAAAAAGUAGAAACCGAAUGUCAGAAAGUUUAAAAUAAAAAUGGCUUUACAGUUGACGGCAGUUAAGGACGAGGACCUGCAAGCGACAAAGGUCAAAGGUCCUGGUCCGGGUCUGCUCAGCAUGUCUGACUCCGAUGCAGACACCAUGGACACAGAGGGAGAAGAUGAGAGCGAGGCUGAAACAGAGCAGGACAUUUCUAUCUCCAUUCAGGAUCCUGGUCCUGUCUCUACCGACAGAGAGACAUCUUUCCCUCAGACUCCACCUAAAACUGACGGAGACCUCCGCAUACGCACUGUCCUUCAGUGCGGCUGUGAGGUCAUGACCUGUCAGUUCAGUAAUGACGGGACUCUGCUCGCUGUUGGACUCACUGACGGCUCGAUCAAGGUCUACAGCACUGACAGAGGGGAACUGCUUCACAUUCUGAGAGACCGAGAUAGCAUUGUCUGCUCUCUGCCUGUCACCAGCUUGUGCUUCACACACACCAGCCAAACACACAGCGUCAUGCUGGCUACCUAUGCCAGUGGGUUUGUGAGGUGCUGGUAUGUGUGGGGCCGGCAGUGUGUGUGGCGGCUGAAGGAAGCGAGGAAUAGCGGAAAAAGUGAAGUAGGAGAGCAGAGGCAGACCCUCUGUCUGUCCGUUUCUCCAUCCGGUGAACAAGCAGCGACCGGUGGCUCUGAUUCAGCCAUACAUCUGUAUGAUCUCAACACCCAGCAGAGAAAACAGACCUGCAAGGCCAGCUCGACGAGGACAGCAAUGGACGGGCACAGCUCACGCGUCUUUGCCAUGACGUUUCAUCCCGACAGAGACACGGAGUUCGUUUCGGGAGGAUGGGACAACACUAUUCAGUUCUGGGACACCAGACAGCAACAUGCAGUCAGAAUGCUCUACGGUCCUCAUGUGUGCGGUGAGGCCCUUCACAUUGACCCAUCAGCCAAUCAGAUUCUGUCCGGUUCCUGGAGGAAAUACACCACCCUGGAGGUGUGGGAUUACAGUUCAGGCAAGAAAGUGAGCAGUGUUCCCCCAGACCCACACGGAGAUAGCAUGAUCUACACGUGCCAGUGGUUGGGUCGAGAUCAUAUCGUGGCAGCUGGAGGUCAUGCUAACGCACUGAGGGUCGUCGAUCGCCACAGUCAAACGGUGCGUAUCACCGAAACAUUACGCUAAACAUGACCCGAAGAGAUUUCGAAUGGGCGCUUAAAAAUAUUGGCACCACCGCGUGUCAUUUGGAAGGAGGCUGUGAAGGUGAAGGCACGGUUGUUUGACUUACCCUCUGCCGUGUUCAGUUCUUCCAUCUGUCCAUCUGGAAGGUGGGCGGGACUUAUAGCGGCCACCUCCGGGGACCAAGUGUUCCUAUUGGUCAUUGAUCAGCAAGAAAAGAA